GACGAACCGUGCGAACGUUAUUCGGAAUCACUGGGCUUAAAGCGCGUGUAGGCGGGGCGGCACGUCGGUCGCUGAAAGCCCCCGGCUCAACCGGGGAAGGGGCACCGAUACGACCGCCCUGGAAGGACGUAGGGGGACCUGGAACUUCCGGUGGAGCGGUGAAAUGCGUUGAGAUCGGAAGGAACGCCCGUGGCGAAAGCGAGGUCCUGGACGUCUGCUGACGCUGAGACGCGAAAGCCAGGGGAGCGAACGGG
rnacentral:rRNA from 1 species